rnacentral:rRNA from 1 species
GACGAACGCUGGCGGCGUGCUUAACACAUGCAAGUGGAGCGACGAACCGGGGCUUGCCCCGGGGCAGAGCCGCGAACGGGUGAGUAACACGUGGGUAACCUGCCUCAAUGAUUGGGACAACCCGGGGAAACUCGGGCUAAUACCAAAUGUGUUCACUCCUUCUAAGGGGAGUGAGGAAAGGAAGCUUCGGCCUCCGCAUUGAGAUGGGCCCGCGGCCCAUUAGCUUGUUGGUGAGGUAACGGCUCACCAAGGCUUCGAUGGGUAGCUGGUCUGAGAGGACGAUCAGCCACACUGGGACUGAGACACGGCCCAGACUCCUACGGGAGGCAGCAGUGGGAAUCUUGCACAAUGCGCGAAAGCGUGAUGCAGCAACGCCGCGUGGGGAAGACGGCCUCGGUUGUAA